UACUCCUACUACACCUCAUCCUGCACACACUCACAUUCACUCUUCAUAUUCAUCUUCACAGAGCAUUAUCUCUACAACACAAAUCCAACAAUUCUCAUUUCUUUCAUUGCCGCAUCCAUGUCCACUCACAAUCACACUCCAACCCAUCCUUUGCAGAUUGCAAAGCGGUUAGAGAAGUUCAAACCAACAAUUUUCACCCAAAUAAGUAUCCUCGCAAUCAAACAUGGAGCUGUUAACCUAGGUCAGGGUUUUCCCAACUUUGAUGGUCCAGAUUUUGUAAAGGAAGCAGCAAUUCAAGCAAUCAGGGAUGGGAAAAAUCAGUAUGCCAGGGGUUAUGGAAUUCCAGAUCUCAAUAUUGCCAUCGCUGAGAGGUUCAAGAAAGAUUCUGGACUCGUAGUAGACCCUGAAAAGGAAGUUACCGUUACAUCUGGUUGCACAGAAGCAAUUGCUGCAACUGUAUUAGGUUUAAUAGAUCCUGGUGAUGAGGUUAUUCUGUUUGCUCCUUUUUAUGAUUCUUAUAUUGCCACUUUAUCCAUGGCUGGUGCGAAUAUUAAAAGCAUAACGCUGCGCCCUCCGGAUUUUGCUGUCCCGAUUGAAGAGUUGAAGUCCGUCAUCUCAAAGAACACUCGUGCAGUUGUUAUAAAUACUCCUCACAAUCCUACAGGAAAGGUGUUCACUAGAGAGGAGCUUUAUACCAUUGCAUCUCUUUGCAUUGAGAAUGAUGUCUUGGUUUUUACUGAUGAAGUUUAUCAUAAGUUGGCAUUUGAUACGGAACAUGUUUCGAUUGCUUCUUUGCCUGGAAUGUUUGAUCGGACGGUGACAAUGAACUCGUUGGGGAAGACAUUCUCGUUGACAGGAUGGAAGGUUGGAUGGGCCAUAGCACCGGAACACUUAACUUGGGGAGUGCGACAGGCGCACACGUUUAUUAACUUCUCAAUUGCAAAUCCUUUGCAGUGUGGUGCUGUAGCAGCUCUUCGAGCGCCCGAUUCUUAUUAUGCGGAUCUAAAGAGGGAUUAUAUAGCAAAGAGAACUAUUUUGGUGGAAGGUUUGAAGAGUGUUGGAUUCAAGGUUUUCCCAUCCAAUGGAACCUUCUUCGUGCUUGUAGAUCACACCCCUUUUGGAUUUGAAAAUGAUGUUGCGUUUUGUGAAUAUCUAAUUAAGGAGAUUGGGGUGGCGGCGAUACCUUGCAGUGUGUUUUACUUGAAUCAAGAAGAGGGGAAGAAUUUAGUCAGAUUCACUUUCUGCAAGGACGAGGAAACUCUUAAGACCGCUGUUGAGAGGAUGAAGGAGAGGCUUAAAAAAUAAUCUUUAUGCGUGAUCGGGUCAUGUGAUACAUAUCUAAAUAAGGACAUUUUCCUUUCAAAAUUCCCAAAAGCCUUGAUGGGUAUGUGCUGUUGUUUUGUUAUGUAGGAUUACAAACUCAGUGCAUCAUCAAUAGUUUGAACUUGUUUUUCUAUAGUUCUAGCUCCUUUCUUAUUGCUUUGCUGUUGUAUUGCACUUAUAAUUGAAUGUUGUACUUAGCAUGUAUUACAGGAUUACUAUGGAAAUAGAGUUUAUAUAUUAUUUAGAGCCAGUUAGUGAACGUUUUUCAAGCUCUGAUAAUUCCACAGUUCUAACCCCCGAGUCGCAAUAAUACCAGAAAGCCAUUCAAUGAAGAGGUACUAGAGGAAAGGAUCGGAUUUGUUACAGAGAGAUAAUUGAUUGUGUGAAUAUUGGAUGAUCAUUCCUUUUAGCCUUCAAAGCUAUAAGUAAGUUCGGUUACAUCUCAACUAGUCAUUGCAAAUGUAAGAAAAAAAUCUGCUGGUAGCUUUCUAACUCAUUUAAUUGUUUGUCACAAUAAACGAAAACAUUACCGUUGCAAUUAGGAGGUGAACAAUUCUCUCUCUUUCAUCAUUUUUAAAAUGGUAUCAUAGAACCCCGGUUUCGAUCAUGAUAGAAUUGUCUUAGUUUCCUCCUCCACUGCCACUUCCGCCACCACGGCCUUCAGAAUCAUCUUCCAAAGCAAAUAUCGUCAUGUUUCAGUUGAAGUUCUCAGAGAAGUUUGAUAAAAACAAACGUCCUUGUUUGGUGUCAACGAAUUCGGCCAAUAUUUAAUAUUCAUAAUCUCCAAGAUUUUCUUCUUUAAUGUGAAAUUUCAUAUCGUCUCUCCAAUGAUGCAAUCACUAGUACGCUUGUUGAAAUUUCUUGUUUUCAAGCUUGGACACAGCAAGAUUAAUGUCUAUUGUCAUGACUUCAGUCAACAAUUUCCAAUUCACUGAUGACUCGUAUUCUUGGAUGUGUUCACGCAUCUCAACUGUGAUCUUGUAUUCAUGAUCAUUUUUGGAAAUUGACUCGUGCUCGUGUACAUCAACUAAGCUCAUGAUUGUGUGCUACAACCUUAGAUGAUCGUAGUAUCAAUGAAUAUAUAUCGGUGAGUCAAACAUUUUUCUCUAGCCUCAGUUGGAGAUCCUAUUCCAUCUUAGCAACACAUUGACAUCAUUCUCGAAGGUCUUUUUUUGGACUAUGGAUAUGUCCUCUAUGUCAUAGAGAGAAAAUUUGAGAUAAUUCAACUCAAAAAGUUGAAGCUCUACUAAUUGUGCAUGAUAUGCGCCUCUCAAAGUUCAACAAGAAGGUGCAACUUGAUGUAGCAUCCAUUAAUCUUACACAGUCUAAACCACAAGUUGAUAUUCUCUCCUCCAAUGAUUCUUCUCAUUCUAAUAUCCUUGCUUCUACCUCUGAUGAAUCAAUUGUACCUUUUAAAAACUCCUAUGGAGAAGGCUUCUCUCAUAGAAGAGGAAUAAGAGAAGGUCAAGGACGUGAAGGGAGACGCUUCAUCAGUGUUAGGUUUAUUAUAAUUUUGGCCACACUGCUUCAGUUUGUUAUCAUUGUUUUAAUCAACAAUUUCAAACCCCUACUCAUGCUCAUUAUUGAUAAGUGCCGAAAAUACGUUAAUAAAUAAGCAUUUAUUAACUUAUUUUGCAAGUAAUCAAAGAAAAAACCCUCAAUUUAUCAAUAAAACGUCUGUAUGAAAUUUUUAGCUGUGUAUUCACUAAGUACGAGUAAAAACAAUCAAGAAAACAUCAAAAUCAGCCAAAAAGCACAUUAUUCCAACAACCAAAGCUCGCUAAGCGUUCUAUGGCGUAAAAGAAGACUUAAAGAGGCAAGUAACUUUAAAGCUAAGCAAAAAACUUGCUUAGCGUAGUAUCAAGCGCACUACACAAGGUAAGGCAGGUGUGACUUUAAGAAUAAGUUACUUCAAGGACAAGGAAGGGUUUGCUUGCUAAACAAGCUUUAGAGGCGCACCAAUCAACGAAAGGCGACAAAGACAACUUGUAAGUGAGUUAGUAUAACUAUUAAACACCAAGAAGUUUUCUCAACUAUUAAACACCAAAGUUCAAUUUACUUUCUUUUAUUUUACUUUAAGCCAUUUCAAAAUUUCACAAACAAUCAACAUUUGAUAAAUCAUCCUUAAAAUUAUAGAAAAUAUUGAAUGCCUUUGAAACACAUCCAUCCCCUAUGGAGAUGAUGAAAGUUGUACUUGCUUCUACACUUGCAACAAAAUGGUGACAUUGUCGAGGAAUGGUGUUAGUUUUUAAAGACAUUGCAAUUGGUUAUAUUAUUUUAAUUAUUUUGCUUAUAACUAUAUAUUUGUGCAUAUUUUGUUUAUAGUCACUAGUCUACUAACAUGCUAGUCUGUUGAUAUAUUUUUUUUAUGUGAAGAAAGGCUUUUGAAGAGCAACUUUUGUUUGAUCCUAAAAUAGAACAAACCACACAUAGAAACAACAACAAAACAAGAAAAGAAAAAUUAUUAGCCUAAAGAUAAGACCUAGAAGAGUCUUCUAUUUCAAACUAGAAACCAUGUCAGACCUUGGAAAUGAUAACAUCAAACAUUGAAGAUGUUAGACGAAGGCAACUUAUCUAGAAGGGGUGAAUAGAUCCGCAAUUAAAAAUACUUGGUGAAAAUACUGUUUUAAAACGUUUUAACUAUGGAUAGCGGAAAAUGCACAAAACAAUUUGUCUAAUCCAAACCGCUAUCAAAAAACUCGGAUAUGCGUUAAAACCAUUAAGAUUGCAUUGAUAAUGAAAAGCAAUUGAAUCAAUAUAUUUCAACAAUCACCAAAAUAUGUUUGAAUUUAAACACGCAAGUAAUUUAUUUCUAAUGAAAUGAUUAAACAAAAACUUAGAGAAGCAAUUUAUCGAACACUUAAUUUGCAAUCAAUUUUGAUCAGAAUUUUCUUAUAGUUCUGUUGAUUUGAAAUCCAAUUACAAUCACAAGGAUUGUAAUGAACACAACAAAACAGUUUUGAAAUGAUAAAGAAUCUAUCUAAUCAAAAUUGAAAUCACAAUUACCGAAUUCAACAAUUUUCUGUUGAAAGUAAAUGAGAGAGAUAGAUAGAGAGAGGGGACACAAGGACUUGUUUAGGCAUUUCAUCAAUCGUCCUCGCUAUGGCUACGUUGCCCCCAAUUCCAAACAGAAUUGUGAUAGUAAAUUGCAAAAUUUAUUUACAAGAGAAAUGUAGAAAUUCAACCCUACAAACCCUAUGUUUGUUGUUGAUCCUAACUCAUUCUCUUCCCUUGAUCUUGAGCUCGAUCAAGAACCCGAUGAUACCAAUUAAUCCACCAGUUAUCGCUACUUUUUCGACAGAACCACUUUCUUCAAAGCUUUCACUCGAAAGAAUCCAAGUGUGAAUUAUCGUGACUCCCAAACGAUCCUCCAAUUACCGCUACUCCUUGACAGAACCACCUUUUUCGAAGCUUUCACUCAGCUGAAUCCGAAUUGCGAAGUCUUGUGCGAAACCCCAAAUCAACACCUUGAUAUUUGAGGACAAACCCUCACAGUUUUUCCCAAUGAGACCCCAAAAUAUUCUCAACCCAAUUUACAAUUCAACAACCUAAGUUGGACGUUAUCAACCUAAUUUAGAUGGCACCCAAACAAAGAAUGAUUAUGUGUAAUUUAUUUUUGUGUAUGCAUAGAUGUGAGGUUGAAGAUGAAGAGAACUCUUUCUAUGUUUAUGGUUUCAUCAUUUUGAAAUGAUGUAUGUAUGAGGUAUUUAUAUGUGUGCAAGUUGGAGGCAAAAGGAAAACUAGAGGUUUAGAAAAGAAUGCAAAAUUUCAAAAAAAAAAUAAUAAUUUACACAUGUGUUGACACAUGUAAGUCAUGUUCUGACUCAUUUUGGCACGUGUUUGUCAUGAGUUGACUCAUAUCAAUAAAUUUUCUGCUAUAUGUCAACCUUAAGAGCCUUAUUAGUCUACUUAUGCAAGCAGAAGUUACAGGCUUUAAAAGCAAGUACAUGUGUCGACACAUGCACACAGAAUCUACAGUAUGUGUUGACACAUGCAAAUAGAGCCUACAGGCUUUAAAAUGCAUGCACAUGUGUCGACUCAUAAAUCGUAUGUGUCAACACAUAGACUUGUUUUCAUAUAAAAAUAUGUUUUUAAUGCAUAAAACCUAUUCUAAAUGCAUUUUAAGCUUCCUAAUAUUAAGAUGCAUAUUAAGACUCAGAGAUAGAAUCCAAUAUACACAAAUGCUAAAGUUUUCCUAGUUUUGAUAUCAUACAAAAUAUCUCUAAUAGGAUAGUGCACUCACAGUAGAAUGUCGUGCCACAACAAUUCGAGAUGACUAGAUCACAUAACUAGAUCAUAAAGGAAUGUCCACCAACAUGAGAUGCUAAUCCUUUUGCAGGACUAGAUCAUGAAGGCCCAUAGACACAUCUUACACAAUUCUAUGAGUUAUCUUAUACAUUCAUAGCUCUAGAAGGUGAGAAAGAGGCGGUAUUCAUAAGGUUGUUUCCAUAUUCAUUGAUCGGUAAAGCGAAAGAAUGGUACUUUGAUCAACCAAUAUAAGUGAUGAACAUCUAGAAGUUAAGGAAGAUGCAGUAUUCAUGAGGUUGUUUCUAUAUUCAUUGAUCGGCAAAGUGACAACCAACACAAGUGAUGACCAACUUGAACACACUGGAGAAAAAGUUCUUGGAUAAAUUCUUUCCUCAUUAUAAGUUUAUGGAAACUAAAACAACAAUCAAGGUAUUCUCUCCAUAAGUUAUUUCCAGAUGCUACUGUUGGGGAUUCUCUAAUGUCAAAAAGCGCAGAAGAUGUAAUUUUGAUAAUUGAACGAAUGUCACUCAGUGAUCAAGGUCAGUACAAUAGGAACCCUGAUCAACAAAAGAAUAACAUCAUUGAAUUAAACACAAAUUAUGCAAUUCUAUCACAUAAUAAGUUAAAAAAAGUAGAUGAUUUGAUAAAGUAUUAGUCAAAGCUCCAGCAUUAAUUGAAGGAAAUGCAUGAGACAUUAAAGCACAUGCAGAUUUCAUUAUGUGAGCUAUGUAGCGACAAUCACCCUCCUGGGUUUUCCCCUCCAACUGAUAAAGAAGUCAACUAUGUUGGAAAUCAACAAAGGCUUGGGAAAUAUCAAAGAAUAACUACAAAAGGAACAUUUUCAAGCAAGGAUGGAGGUCAAAAACUGCUCCUUCAAGUAAGCAAUUGAAUCAUAACUACACUGUAGCACCUCCACAAGAAAAAUCAACAAAGCUGGAGGAUAUAUUUAACCAGUUUGUGAAGAUGUCGGUUACCAACUAGAAGAAUACCAAGGCUUCUAUUAAAAACCUUGGAACACAAAUUGGUCAAAUGGCAAAGCAAUUGGCUAAUCAACAUAAAGAUGUUUUCAAAAGAGUAUUAUCAUUCAUUCAGUGUUGACAAAGAUGAAAUUGUUGCUGCCAAAGGUCAAUAAAUAAAAGAACCUCAAGAGGAAAUGAAGAAAGAGGAAAGCUUUGAGGAUAUCUAAUAGACUCUUCCAUAAAAUGAAGCAGAUCCUAGUGUAGUCAUAUUACCUAUUUCUAUAGGUGAUAUAAAAGUUGGAAAUGCACUUAUAGACUUGGGUGCUAGUGUGAACUUGAUUCCAUUAACGGUUGUUCAAAAGAUCGGUGACCUUAAAAUAGAAUAACUCAAGUAUGUCAAUCCACUUCAGAAUCUCUAUAUGAUUUUUCUAUAUAUAACAAUAAGAACUUUUUUUAUGAAUUUCAUUAUGUUCCUAUCUUAGAAAUCAAAUAGAGAUAACAUGAUUGCUUUAUUGUUGAUACUCUUAUGUUGAGAAAAUGCAUGUUUACUUGAACUACUACAAUAGGAUAAGCAUUAGGUUUGAAAAUAGAAAUUUGUAAGAGCUUAACUAUUGAUUGUAUGAUGUUAAAAAUAUCUAGGGCUUAUGAGACUAUAGUAAAAAGCAUGCUAAACCAUAGAUUUUUAUCAUUCAUCAUGCAUAAUGAAAGCAAAUAGGAUGCAUUUUCAUGUAUUUGAUCGUAUUACCUAACAAAAUUUU